GUGGCUGUAGCUCAGUUGGUAGAGUGCUAGCCUAACACACACAAAGCCCUGGGUUCAAUCCCCAGCACCACA
rnacentral:tRNA from 1 species